GACGAACGCUGGCGGCGUGCCUAAUACAUGCAAGUUGAGCGCUGAAGGUUGGUACUUGUACCAACUGGAUGAGCAGCGAACGGGUGAGUAACGCGUGGGGAAUCUGCCUUUGGGCGGGGGACAACAUUUGGAAACGAAUGCUAAUACCGCAUAAAAACUUUAAACACAAGUUUUAAGUUUGAAAGAUGCAAUUGCAUCACUCAAAGAUGAUCCCGCGUUGUAUUAGCUAGUCGGUGAGGUAAAGGCUCACCAAGGCGAUGAUACAUAGCCGACCUGAGAGGGUGAUCGGCCACAUUGGGACUGAGACACGGCCCAAACUCCUACGGGAGGCAGCAGUAGGGAAUCUUCGGCAAUGGACGAAAGUCUGACCGAGCAACGCCGCGUGAGUGAAGAAGGUUUUCGGAUCGUAAAACUCUGUUGGUAGAGAAGAACGUUGGUGAGAGUGGAAAGCUCAUCAAGUGACGGUAACUACCCAGAAAGGGACGGCUAACUACGUG
rnacentral:rRNA from 1 species